UACGUAGGGCGCAAGCGUUGUCCGGAAUUAUUGGGCGUAAAGAGCUCGUAGGCGGCCAGUUGCGUCCGCUGUGAAAUCCCGGGGCUUAACCCCGGGCGUGCAGUGGAUACGGGCUGGCUAGAGGCAGGCAGGGGAGAACGGAAUUCCCGGUGUAGCGGUGAAAUGCGCAGAUAUCAGGAGGAACACCGGUGGCGAAGGCGGGUCUCUGGGCAGUAACUGACGCUGAGGAGCGAAAGCGUGGGGAGCGAACAGG
rnacentral:rRNA from 1 species